rnacentral:misc_RNA from 1 species
UCCGGUUUAUCACCGGCGGUCUCCUUAGAGUUCCCACCAUUACGUGCUGGCAACUAAGGACGAGGGUUGCGCUCGUUACGGGACUUAACCCAACAUCUCACGACACGAGCUGACGACAGCCAUGCAGCACCUGUCUUUCGGUUCCCGAAGGCACUCAUCUAUUUCUAGAAGAUUCCGAAGAUGUCAAGAGCAGGUAAGGUUCUUCGCGUUGCAUCGAAUUAAACCGCAUGCUCCACCGCUUGUGCGGGCCCCCGUCAAUUUCUUUGAGUUUUAACCUUGCGGCCGUACUCCCCAGGCGGAUAACUUAACGCGUUAGCUUCGAUACUAAGGAGCAAGCUCCCCAACAUCUAGUUAUCAUCGUUGACGGCGUGGACUAC